CUAAAACUGUUGACCUGGUUGAUUUCUAGGAGGGUCUCUCUCCUUGGCAUGUAGGUGUGGCUUUGGGGAGAAGGGUGGGGCUGGCCAGGGUUUCCACACCUGCCUCCCGGAGACCCACUUCGGAUGCCCAGCACCGCGACUGCUGCACAGCCACGAGGCUGAGUGCCGUGGAUACGUGCAUGACUUAGGAAUGCGUGCUGGUGUGUUUGCCACAGCAACACAAUGAGGAAAGCACAGCUAGAAGAGAGAUGGGGAGCUCAUCCACCUGGAGAAGCAUGAGCAGGAGCAGGAAGGCUCACUCUGGGACUGUGCUCACAGGACCCUGAGAUGCAGCAGAGAGAGCAGUGUGAGGAGCAGAGGACGCUGUCUGCAGUAUUGUGUGCAGUGCACAGAGCCUACUGUCAGUGUUUCUCUGGGGAUUGGAGCAGACAGUCCUGCCAACCAGCAUGGCAGGGAAUCGCCUGGGCAGGAUGCAAGCCACAUCCUGGAGAAUAUGAUUCUUAGUGGAAUAGAAAGCCAAGUGCCAUGGAAGCCAAGACUCGUGCAGGCUUACCAAGAUGCCCCAAGCCAUUGGAGAAUAUGGAGUUUCUCAGUGCCCAGAAGAUUCAGAAGAUUUACUUAAACUUAAAGGGCAAGUAGACCUUAAGAAGCUGUAAAACUUAAGAACAUCCAAGAUUCUGACAUAUGAAAUACAAUUUCUUUGGCACCUAUGGUAUACCAUACACUCUUAGCUACUAAACUUAGCUACUGUUCUAAUG